UCCACACUGUAAACUGGAGUUACUGAGGUCAGUCUGACUGGGUAUUCCACACUGUAAACUGGAGAUACUGAGGUCAGUCUGACUGGGUAUUCCACACUGUAAACUGGAGUUACUGAGGUCAGUCUGACUGGGUAUUCCACACUGUAAACUGGAGUUACUGAGGUCAGUCUGACUGGGUAUUCCACACUGUAAACUGGAGAUACUGAGGUCAGUCUUACUGGAUAUUCCACACUGUAAACUGUGGGUAGUGAGGUGAGUAUUACUGGGUAUUUCACACUGUACGCUGGAGAUAGGUGGAACAUAGCUAGUGAUUUCAAAAUAAAGCAGGAGUAUCUAAGUCUACAGGUUGACUAAAAAAAUAACAUUAGACUCGCUACAGUAAGUGGAAUGUCAGAAUGAAGAUUGCAUUGGAGGUUAAGGAUGACAUUAAAAGUUUCUUCCAAUAUUUUAACUGCAAAAGAGCUCUAAAAGCUGAAAUCACUCAUCUGUAGGAUAGUAAGGGCCUUAUAAUUGAAAAUGAAAAUUAAUAUAAUAAAUGAGUUUAAAAUCUUGGGGACAACGUGUGG